UACAGAGGUCCCAAGCGUUGUCCGGAUUUAUUGGGCGUAAAGAGCGUGUAGGCGGCUUGGAAGGUCAGCUGUGAAAACUCGAGGCUCAACCUCGAGACGUCGGUUGAAACCACCUGGCUAGAGUCCGGAAGAGGAGAGUGGAAUUCCCGGUGUAGCGGUGAAAUGCGCAGAUAUCGGGAAGAACACCCGUGGCGAAGGCGGCUCUCUGGGACGGUACUGACGCUGAGACGCGAAAGCGUGGGGAGCGAACAGG
rnacentral:rRNA from 1 species